ACUGUCUUCAGCAGCACUUAACACUAAAAUCAGAACAACAUAGAGAAGAUUAUCACGGCCCCUGCAUAAGGUUGACACAUAGACAUAUGGAGUGUUCUGUAUUUUU
rfam:Otolemur garnettii contig148271, whole genome shotgun sequence.